AUGCUUGGGGUUCUCUUUUCCCCCUCUUCUUUGUCAUAUUCUUCUCCCAAAAGCCCUCGUCUUCCUCUUCGGUAACCUAGACAAAUUUGGUAACUUGGUGAACUAGCAAGGUUAGUUUGAGGUUCUAAAGUCCGCCUCCGUGAAUUAGCGUUGAUCCUUCAAAUCGAACGUGGAGAGCAAGCGCAGGCUAUUCGUUAGAUAAAGCUCGAGAAACUUAAUUAAUGGCGAACAGGAAUCAAAUCCCCACUAGCAACUCAGCUCGUAUUGCAAUGAUUGCAGAUGAGCUACAGCAAGCCUGUUCCAGCAAUCCUGGAGAUUCCAUCAAAGGAUCAUCCGUAUGAUCCGGCACAUGAUUCUAUUCUUUCACGGGUUAAAUACCUGUUUUCUGCAGAAUGGGUGGCAUCUGGGAGGCGUUAAAUGCAGAUGUACACUUGUAUGGCUCCACUGUCUCAUCAUGUUUCUAUUCUCUUCAUGCUUUGAAU